rnacentral:rRNA from 1 species
UACGAAGGGGGCUAGCGUUGUUCGGAAUUACUGGGCGUAAAGCGCACGUAGGCGGACUCUUAAGUCGGUGGUGAAAUCCUGGAGCUCAACUCCAGAACUGCCUUCGAUACUGGGAGUCUUGAGUCCGGGAGAGGUGAGUGGAACUGCGAGUGUAGAGGUGAAAUUCGUAGAUAUUCGCAAGAACACCAGUGGCGAAGGCGGCUCACUGGCCCGGUACUGACGCUGAGGUGCGAAAGCGUGGGGAGCAAACAGG